rnacentral:lncRNA from 1 species
UCUGGGUAAAGUGUCCAAUCACCAGGUCAAGCCGCAUGUGGCAGAAAACAUUCCUCUCCAGAGGCCCGUGAGUAAUAACAGCUGAAGUAAAUCCACUCCUGUCCCCUCAUCUGGGAAGCAUGAGAGCAAUUCCAAGACUGAUUCUGUGUUUCUAAGAAACUGAGGCCACAGCCUCUGGUCCUUUCCUUGGAGUUUUCUCACAAGCUCCCAGAAUUCCCCUCUCACACCGUUCUUGCCCUGUUCUCCCACAGCAGAAUUCCAGCACAAAAGCUUGAGAAUUUGGGCACUUGUAAUGACAGGGAAACGACAGAGUUCAGCUGUGUCCACUAGAGGGCCUCAUUUCAGUGUUCAUCCAGAUUGCUUAGAGAACUUCAAGAGCAGGUUUUUGAAGUGAGCACCUAGGAAGUUGUUGUUCUUCCCCAGUUCCCAGAUCCGCAAAUGGAGAAUGUGAAAGAACAACCAUGAGGCUUCACCAACACUCGGUGUGAAUGAGGACAUCAGAGGUGCACCAUUGCGUGCUAUGUGAAUGCAGUAUCUGCAGAGGCCAGAAGGCACCUUCAGAUCUCCCGGGACUGGAGUUCUAGAGUCUGUGAGCUGCCAUGGGGAGCCAAGCAGGGCACUGAGGGACACAGGCGUGUGGUUGGAGGCCUUGCUGGGAGGAAAAAGAGACUGCUGAAGGUUUGUCAGCUGUUAACCCAGUUUACUGCCAGGAUCUUUGCAGUUGGAGGCCUUUCCCACCCCAAGCCACCCUGUGCACCUGCAGAAGAGCUGCCUUUGCUUCUGUCCCUCGGGGCUGGGCUGCUCAGCGAGCAUAAGGACUGACAUGGGACAGCAACAUGGAGCCAGGAAUGGUCUUACCCACAGAGAGCUCCCCCGGGGCAUGGGGCUACUGCUCGCCAUGGCCCUUAUGAACGUGGUCCUCUACGUCUGCCUCGAUCAUCUCUUCAUCUCCCCUGGGCGAGCUACUGAGGACCCUCGGCGCUGCCCUCCGGGUUACUUCAGAAUGGGGCGGAUG